rnacentral:lncRNA from 1 species
CACGGGGUAUGACUAUAUAGGUCUUGUAGAAGAGAAACAGGCGCUUCUUUUGCGCUAGGUAUCGAAGGGCGCUAUGUUCAAAAAUCUGAAACUAGAGCUCAAAAUUUGAAAAAAAAUGUCAAAAAAUUAGGGGGGUCGGCCUAUUCCAGGGCUUCUAGAGAAAAAUAAUGAGGGGUGUCACGGGGAAUGACUAUAUAGGUCUUGUAGAGGAGAAACAGGCGCUUCUUUUGCGCUAGGUAUCGAAGGGCGCUAUGUUCAAAAAUCUGAAACUAGAGCUCAAAAUUUGAAAAAAAUGUCAAAAAAAUAGGGGGGUCGGCCUAUUCUAGGACUUCUA